rnacentral:rRNA from 1 species
UACGUAGGGCGCAAGCGUUGUCCGGAAUUAUUGGGCGUAAAGCGCUCGUAGGCGGCCUGUUGCGUCCGCUGUGAAAGCCCGGGGCUUAACCCCGGGUCGGCAGUGGAUACGGGCAGGCUAGAGUUAGGUAGGGGAGAAUGGAAUUCCCGGUGUAGCGGUGAAAUGCGCAGAUAUCGGGAGGAACACCGGUGGCGAAGGCGGUUCUCUGGGCCUUAACUGACGCUGAGGAGCGAAAGCGUGGGGAGCGAACAGG